UUCCAACUGCAAGAAGUGACAGCGGUGAGUAUUGACAGCAUUUGAAUUGAGAGCCAUUUUUCAAGCAUGUGAGAUGUCCAUUGUACUGUCCAUAUUAUGACCGAUAUCCCACUGGGCAAAGACGCCAAUUCAACGUCUAAGUCCUCGUUGAUUCAACUUAAUUUCAUUGAAAUGACGUUGGAAACAAUGUUGAUUCAACCAGUGUGUGCCCAGUGGGAUGGUUCCCACUCCACACUAAGACCACAGAGUACAGGGCAGGUGUUCCCUCACAAUUCCACUGGGUAAGUACCACCACCUGGAAAGUUGAUUAGGCCCUAAACGGGAGAAAUUGGACUGAAACAGUGAGGGACUACAUGGAUUACAUGGUCCAUUUUUUGUUUCUGUUUCAAAACCUUUUUAAAAUGUUGCGUGCCCUAAAUGUCCACAACACACUGACCACUAAUCCUAUCCUCCUAACUCACCAGAGUGGGUACGCAGGUGACCGCUGAGGGCGUCUCUCCGGCGACAGGCAUAGUUGCACAGGUGACACUUGAAGGGCUUCUCUCCUGAGUGGAGCUUGAUGUGACGUAGCAGGUUGCCUUUCUGGGUGAAAGAAGCGCCACACUGGGUGCACUGGAAUGGACGCUCUCCUGAGGACAAGAAACACCACACAGCAGGUUGUUAGGGCCAGCACACAGGAGCAGCUGCCACUCAUCUACAGUAUGUAUCAACACUUUAAAUGUAAUUGGCUCAUUGCAAAUGAGUGUUGGCAUAUUUUUCACUGACAAGCACACUUUUGUAAUCUCACAAAUACAUAACUGCAGUAUAGGUGUCUUUGUGAGUUAUGCAAAUAUUAUCAUGUAGAAAAAAUAGGAAUAUUUUCAGCAAAAUCUUGUUUUAUGAGCUCGGACACAAAAUGACAAUAAUGUACAUUACAGCAGAUUAGUAUUUUGUUUGUAAGAGUAGGCCUAUAUGAAUGGAAUUCUAUGCUUUAUAUAACCGAGGGUUAAUGCAAAGUGUUGACAGUGUGUGGGGAAUGUAUGAACGUGCUUUCUCUUUUGUCAUCUUACAGUAUGAGAUGGACCCAUUUUUGUCAUUUGUAUCAGUUUAUCAACCAUUCUGAGUUUGUCAUUUUGCUUUGAGCCGCACCAAUGUCGGCUCGGCUCAAUGAGAACAGCCUCUCUUCAGAGAAUAAUGGGUCAGGUAUUGAGCCAUUGUCUGAAUUUUGCUAUCUGGAUGCAAGAACUAAAGCAUCUCCACCAAUAGCACCACUGUGGAUGUGAAUGUGGGGUCACUGUACCGCAAGACUCCCAAGCACUAGAACACGGUGAAUGAUGGAGGAACUCUGAGCACAGGCCAAUCAACCAGCCUAUGAGGGUUUGAGAGCGGAGUGACACUCCAUUUCUCCAUGCACUCCCUGGCCCUGAACCUCGGAGCCGAAUGGCGCUCUGAUCGAACAAGAGCCUUUCAGACUCAGGCUGCCAGUUCCGUAAUGCACCAGUGCCUGGGUCAAUUUGAUCAGAAAAUCUCUUCUUUUUUUUCUCUUCUUCUUCGUCUCUAAAAUAAGAGCAGCCCAUCACAAUGCAAAUUCAAGCUCAUUUGAAUAAAGUGAAGGAAACACUUUG